UUAUCACCUGCGAGUUAUUAG
rnacentral:piRNA from 1 species